CACUCUAGAGAGACUGCCAGGGAUAACCUGGAGGAAGGUGGGGAUGACGUCAAAUCAUCAUGCCCCUUAUGCUUAGGGCUACACACGUGCUACAAUGGGUAGUACAGAGGGUUGCCAAGCCGUAAGGCGGAGCUAAUCCCUUAAAGCUACUCUUAGUUCGGAUUGUAGGCUGAAACUCGCCUACAUGAAGCUGGAGUUACUAGUAAUCGCAGAUCAGAAUGCUGCGGUGAAUGCGUUCCCGGGUCUUGUACACACCGCCCGUCACACCACGGGAGUUGGAG
rnacentral:rRNA from 1 species